CUCUUCUCAACUCUCUGUUUUCUUUAAUUUCUUAUUCCUCUCAAAUGUCAUUUUUAGAAUCCAAUGUUGAAGCUUUUUGGCAUGGCAUCCAUCAUUUUUAUGCUUCUUUUGGCGUUCUUGUUGCUAGUGCUGCCACUGGUAUUGCCGCCGCUUCCGCCGCCGCCAUUGAUAUUUCUUUGUGUACCAGUUCUGAUCAUGUCUUUCCUUAUUGUCUUGGCUUUUUCUCCCUACCAAACACCAAAUUUCGCAUUCUUCGCCCUUGAUAAGUCGAUCUAAGGCCUCAGGACUUCAUUUUCAAUUUAUCAAGGGAAUGUGCAGCAUUCAGAGAUCCUGUGGUUCAGAUAUGGAAAUGUACAGUGUAGAUCGUAAGAUUACGUACGGAAAGAGUUGAAAUAUUCUCUCUCUCUCUCUCUCUCUCU
rnacentral:misc_RNA from 1 species